AUUGAACGCUGGCGGCAUGCCUUACACAUGCAAGUCGAACGGCAGCGGACCUUCGGGUGCCGGCGAGUGGCGAACGGGUGAGUAAUAUAUCGGAACGUACCUUUCAGUGGGGGAGUAACGUAGCGAAAGUUACGCUAAUACCGCAUAUUCUGUGAGCAGGAAAGCAGGGGAUCGCAAGACCUUGCGCUGAUUGAGCGGCCGAUAUCAGAUUAGCUAGUUGGUGAGGUAAAGGCUCACCAAGGCGACGAUCUGUAGCGGGUCUGAGAGGAUGAUCCGCCACACUGGAACUGAGACACGGUCCAGACUCCUACGGGAGGCAGCAGUGGGGAAUUUUGGUACAAUGGGCGGCAAGACCUGAUCCAGCCAUGCCGCGUGAGUGAAGAAAGGCCUCGUGUAGUA
rnacentral:rRNA from 1 species